rnacentral:rRNA from 1 species
UGGGGAAUUUUGGACAAUGGGCGCAAGCCUGAUCCAGCCAUGCCGCGUGCGGGAAGAAGGCCUUCGGGUUGUAAACCGCUUUUGUCAGGGAAGAAAUCUUCUGAGUUAAUACCUCGGGAGGAUGACGGUACCUGAAGAAUAAGCACCGGCUAACUACGUGCCAGCAGCCGCGGUAAUACGUAGGGUGCAAGCGUUAAUCGGAAUUACUGGGCGUAAAGCGUGCGCAGGCGGUUUUGUAAGACAGAGGUGAAAUCCCCGGGCUCAACCUGGGAACUGCCUUUGUGACUGCAAGGCUUGAGUGCAGCAGAGGGGGGAUGGAAUUCCGCGUGUAGCAGUGAAAUGCGUAGAUAUGCGGAGGAACACCGAUGGCGAAGGCAAUCCCCUGGGCCUGCACUGACGCUCAUGCACGAAAGCGUGGGGAGCAAAACAGGAUUAGAUAGCCCUGGUAGUCCACGCCCUAAAACGAUGUCAACUGGUUGUUGGGAAGGUUCCUUCUCAGUAACGUAGCUAACGCGUGAAGUUGACCGCCUGGGGAGUACGGCCGCAA